rnacentral:rRNA from 1 species
UACGUAGGGGGCAAGCGUUGUCCGGAAUCAUUGGGCGUAAAGAGCGUGUAGGCGGCCCGAUAAGUCCGCUGUGAAAGUCCAGGGCUCAACCCUGGAAUGCCGGUGGAUACUGUCGGGCUCGAAUCCGGAAGAGGUGAGUGGAAUUCCUGGUGUAGCGGUGAAAUGCGCAGAUAUCAGGAAGAACACCAAUGGCGAAAGCAGCUCUCUGGGACGGUACUGACGCUGAGACGCGAAAGCGUGGGGAGCGAACAGG